rnacentral:rRNA from 1 species
GCGAAAGUUACGCUAAUACCGCAUAUUCUGUGCGCAGGAAAGCAGGGGAUCGCAAGACCUUGCGCUGAUUGAGCGGCCGAUAUCAGAUUAGCUAGUUGGUGAGGUAAAAGCUCACCAAGGCGACGAUCUGUAGCGGGUCUGAGAGGAUGAUCCGCCACACUGGAACUGAGACACGGUCCAGACUCCUACGGGAGGCAGCAGUGGGGAAUUUUGGACAAUGGGGGCAACCCUGAUCCAGCCAUGCCGCGUGAGUGAAGAAGGCCUUCGGGUUGUAAAGCUCUUUCAGCCGGGAAGAAAAUGCAUGGGUUAAUACCCUGUGCAGAUGACGGUACCGGAAUAAGAAGCACCGGCUAACUACGUGCCAGCAGCCGCGGUAAUACGUAGGGUGCGAGCGUUAAUCGGAAUUACUGGGCGUAAAGCGUGCGCAGGCGGUUUUGUAAGACAGGCGUGAAAUCCCCGGGCUUAACCUGGGAACUGCGUUUGUGACUGCAAGGCUAGAGUACGGCAGAGGGGGGUGGAAUUCCACGUGUAGCAGUGAAAUGCGUAGAGAUGUGGAGGAACACCAAUGGCGAAGGCAGCCCCCUGGGUCGAUACUGACGCUCAUGCACGAAAGCGUGGGUAGCAAACAGGAUUAGAUACCCUGGUAGUCCACGCCCUAAACGAUGUCAACUAGGUGUUGGGAGGGUAAAACCUUUUAGUACCGUAGCUAACGCGAGAAGUUGACCGCCUGGGGAGUACGGCCGCAAGGUUAAAACUCAAAGGAAUUGACGGGGACCCGCACAAGCGGUGGAUGAUGUGGAUUAAUUCGAUGCAACGCGAAAAACCUUACCUACCCUUGACAUGUCAGGAACUUUCCAGAGAUGGAUUGGUGCUCGAAAGAGAACCUGAACACAGGUGCUGCAUGGCUGUCGUCAGCUCGUGUCGUGAGAUGUUGGGUUAAGUCCCGCAACGAGCGCAACCCUUGUCGUUAAUUGCCAUCAUUCAGUUGGGCACUUUAACGAGACUGCCGGUGACAAACCGGAGGAAGGUGGGGAUGACGUCAAGUCCUCAUGGCCCUUAUGGGUAGGGCUUCACACGUCAUACAAUGGUCGGUACAAAGGGUCGCCAACCCGCGAGGGGGAGCCAAUCCCAUAAAGCCGAUCGUAGUCCGGAUUGUAGGCUGCAACUCGCCUGCAUGAAGUCGGAAUCGCUAGUAAUCGUGGAUCAGCAUGUCACGGUGAAUACGUUCCCGGGUCUUGUACACACCGCCCGUCACACCAUGGGAGCGGGUUCCGCCAGAAGUAGGUAGCCUAACCGCAAGGAGGGCGCUUACC